rnacentral:rRNA from 1 species
GUCCACGCCCUAAACGAUGCUUACUGGAUGUUGGUUUGGAUUGAAUCAGCAUCUAAGGGAAACCAUUAAGUAAGCCACCUGGGGAGUACGCCCGCAAGGGUGAAACUCAAAGGAAUUGACGGGGGUCGCACAAGCGGUGGAGUAUGUGGUUUAAUUCGAUGAUACGCGAGGAACCUUACCUAGGCUCGAAUGCUAAGUUAAUAUAGAUGAAAGUUUAUAGUCCGCAAGGAAAGUUAGCAAGGUGCUGCAUGGUUGUCGU